UACGUAGGGUGCGAGCGUUGUCCGGAUUUAUUGGGCGUAAAGGGCGCGUAGGCGGCCACGCACGUCCGUUGUGAAAUCGCCCGGCUCAACUGGGCGGGGUCAGCGGAUACGGUGUGGCUCGAGCAAGCUAGGGGGCAAUGGAAUUCCCGGUGUAGUGGUGGAAUGCGUAGAUAUCGGGAGGAACACCAGUGGCGAAGGCGGUUGCCUGGAGCUUUGCUGACGCUGAGGCGCGAAAGCGUGGGGAGAGAUCCGG
rnacentral:rRNA from 1 species